rnacentral:rRNA from 1 species
AACGAACGCUGGCGGCAUGCCUAACACAUGCAAGUCGAACGAGACCUUCGGGUCUAGUGGCGCACGGGUGCGUAACGCGUGGGAACCUGCCCUUAGGUUCGGAAUAACUCCCCGAAAGGGGUGCUAAUACCGGAUAAUGUCUUCGGACCAAAGAUUUAUCGCCUUUGGAUGGGCCCGCGUUGGAUUAGCUAGUUGGUAGGGUAAAAGCCUACCAAGGCGACGAUCCAUAGCUGGUCUGAGAGGAUGAUCAGCCACACUGGGACUGAGACACGGCCCAGACUCCUACGGGAGGCGGCAGUGGGGAAUAUUGGACAAUGGGCGAAAGCCUGAUCCAGCAAUGCCGCGUGAGUGAUGAAGGCCUUAGGGUUGUAAAGCUCUUUUACCCGGGAUGAUAAUGACAGUACCGGGAGAAUAAGCUCCGGCUAACUCCGAG